GCCAGUGUGGUGUAGUGGUUUGAAUGUUGGACUACAACUCUGGAGCAGGGUUUGAAUCCCCUCUUGCG